UCCAGCGCGAGUGUUUUUAUUUUUGAAAAUGUAUAAUUUAUAUCACCGUAGAAUAAUAAAAUCUUAAUUUAAAAUCAAGCCAAGUGAUCUUUGUCACCUCGGUGUUGUUUCAUGAUCAUAAGCAUAUCAGAAGUACGGAAAUGGAAAGAUAACGCGAUUCAAGCUACAGCCAAACAUCUUGUUGCUAAUCGAAACAUAAGCCUUAGUUGUCUGAGUACAAUCAAAGUUAUAGUACAUCAAGGCGAAGAUGGCUGACGUCCUGUGUUUGGAGACUUUUACCCUGUCAUCGUAGGACGAUGUUCCUUGUUUGGCCAACAGGGGGCAGCCGAGUCUAAAAGGCCAAAACUGUGAACGGACUUGAAGUGGACCUCGGUAUCAUCAGAAGCACACAAGCUGUAUGGACUGGGCUGUGAUUAGCAUGAAGAGCAGCUGUGCUAACAGCUGUGCUAGCAGCCGUGCUAGCAGUUGACGACACGGCUGUUGUCUCUGCAGAGAAAGUCCAACGUAAACAUAGCUAGCAUACCACACUCCGCGUGUGCUCCCGUUAGUACAGCUCACGGACCUUUGGGGGAAAUUCUUUUUCUGCGGGAAUAAUAAUAAUAAUAAUAAUAAUAAUAAUAAUAAUAAUAGAAAUGAUCCGAUCCAGGGUCAAAAACGUCACAUUUUAACAUUGGUAGUUAGCGCGGCCUGUUAGAUGGGGACCCCUGCCUUUGUAGCAUGCUUGGGGAUAUG